rnacentral:misc_RNA from 1 species
UUAUCAUUUAGAGGAAGGAGAAGUCGUAACAAGGUUUCCGUAGGUGAACCUGCGGAAGGAUCAUUGUCGAAACCUGCCCUGCAGAACGACCCGCGAACGYGUUAUUCCACUCUGAGGGAGAGCGGGGGCAUCGCGCCCUCGGUCUCCCGACGCUGGUGGGAAGGGAUGCGGGGGGCCUGGCCCUUCCUUCUCUCUCAUCAGCCCAAUAACCAAACCCCGGCGCAGGACGCGCCAAGGAACAUGAAAUGAAAAGAGCGCCCUGCUCCAGGCCCCGGAAACGGUGCGCCUCGGCAGGCGUCGUCCUCUUUCGAGAACCAAAACGACUCUCGGCAACGGAUAUCUCGGCUCUCGCAUCGAUGAAGAACGCAGCAAAAUGCGAUACUUGGUGUGAAUUGCAGAAUCCCGUGAAUCAUCGAGUUUUUGAACGCAAGUUGCGCCCGAAGCUUCGGCCGAGGGCACGCCUGCCUGGGUGUCACGCAACCGUUGCCCCCCCAAGCCCCUUCGGGGCAUCGGGGCGGAUGUUGGCCUCCCGUGCGCUGCAAGCUCGCGGUUGGCCUAAAAAGCAUUGUCCCCGGCGUCGAACGCCACGGCAUUCGGUGGUUGUAAGACUCUCUGACACUGCCGCGCGCGCUCCGCACGUCGAGGGGGACCCCUCGAGACCCCUAAGCAUUCUGUAAAGGAAGUGCUCCGACUGCGACCCCAGGUCAGGCGGGAGUACCCGCUGAGUUUAAGCAUAUC